ensembl:lncRNA
CAAUACGACUCUCUAUCUGUUGUGUGCUGCUUUAGCUUUAAGUCUGCUUGUUGUUGCUUUUGUCAUUUAUUCAAUCAAGAAACUGAAGCGAGAAUCACAUGCGUAUUGUGAUGAUACAGCUGCAGUUGUUCUGCAAACAAAUGCACCAGACAGUGGAAUUCAGGAAAACCAGCAGACAGAUGAGGAAUCUUUGGUUUAUUCUGCACCAAAUUUCAUCAGUAGAAAAACUACUAAAACAGGGAGAAGGAAGACAACACCUACAGAGGAGGAGAGCAUCUACACUGAUGUCAACACUCUUGGAUUAACAUCUUGACACCAGAUG